rnacentral:rRNA from 1 species
CCUACGGGUGGCAGCAGUGGGGAAUAUUGCACAAUGGGGGAAACCCUGAUGCAGCGACGCCGCGUGAGUGAAGAAGUAAUUCGUUACGUAAAGCUCUAUCAGCAGGGAAGAAAUACUGACCUUACGGUCAGCAGACGGUACCUGAGUAAGAAGCCCCGGCUAACUACGUGCCAGCAGCCGCGGUAAUACGUAGGGGGCAAGCGUUAUCCGGAUUUACUGGGUGUAAAGGGAGCGGAGACGGGGCGCCAAGUCUGGAGUGAAAUGCCGGAGCUUAACUGCGGAACUGCUUUGGAAACUGGCGAACUAGAGUGCUGGAGAGGUAAGCGGAAUUCCUAGUGUAGCGGUGAAAUGCGUAGAUAUUAGGAGGAACACCAGUGGCGAAGGCGGCUUACUGGACCGUAACUGACGUUGAGGCUCGAAAGCGUGGGGAGCAAACAGGAUUAGAUACCCUGGUAGUC